rnacentral:lncRNA from 1 species
UAGGAUUUGGGAAGACUUUUGCAAUCAUUGCUGAAAGUCGAUGUUUGUAUUGGUGAUUUGGGUUUUUUUUUGCAAUAAAGUUAAGGUAGGUACUCUUGACUAUUUUGUGAAAUUGGAGAAACUUCUGCAGUUGAAAUUUAGAGGUGUCUAGAGGAUUGAAUAUACCGAGUGCAUGCAAAAGUUUGUAUUAAUCUGAUAGAACAGAUAGAGGAUAUUUGACCAUUAGUAUAAAGAGGUAUCAGAAGUUAGCAAAUUGGAGUUGUUUAAGGUUUCUGUAAUAUCUGGAGAUCUACCACCUGAAAUAAGGUGACUUUUGGCUUGGUAAGUCGAGGACUUGUAGGCGGCAGUCAAGAUACAUCAGUGUGGAUUUAUGGCAUUUUUUUGCAAUCUGUAAGUUAAAUUGGAUUGAAACUUCUUGAGCAUUUAGAAGGCUUGCAAAGACACUAGUGGUAGAAGUUUAUAACAAUCGGAUGGUCAGAUUGAGGAUUACAGCUUAUCA